UCCGGUUUGGCACCGGCAGUCCUCCCAGAGUCCUCGCCUUGACGCGCUGGCAACUGGGAGCGGGGGUUGCGCUCGUUGCGGGACUUAACCCAACAUCUCACGACACGAGCUGACGACAGCCAUGCACCACCUGUGAUCCUGCCCCUAAGGGAGGCCCUGUUUCCAGGGCGGUCAGGAACAUGUCAAACCCAGGUAAGGUUCUUCGCGUUGCGUCGAAUUAAACCACAUGCUCCGCUGCUUGUGCGGGUCCCCGUCAAUUCCUUUGAGUUUUAGCCUUGCGGCCGUACUUCCCAGGCGGGGCACUUAAUGCGUUAGCUACGGCACGGAGCCCGUCGAUCGAGCCCCACACCUAGUGCCCAACGUUUACGGCGUGGACUAC
rnacentral:misc_RNA from 1 species